rnacentral:lncRNA from 1 species
UUUUAUUUGGAAAUUAGUAUAUUUUCGAGUUAGUAUAUAUAUACAUUAGUCGAGUUUAUGAUGAAUCUAGUCGCGCCCCUAGUUAGAUAUAUAACUUUGAACUAUAGGUUAUACCUAUAGAAAUAGAAAUUUAUAUUCUCAAAUAUUUUUAUAUAAAUUUGGACUUAAAUAAAGUAUUUGCAGCCUAUUUAGUUUAUUUAUAUUGGGCCAUAAAUAAAUAUUUACAUAGUUCUCUACAUUUGGGCUUUAUUAUCUUUUUCUUUGGGCUAUAUUAAUAUAAGCCCAUCAGCAUCUAUUUUCACUAUUUCGAAAAUUUCACAGCAUUUUUAGAGAAAAAAUUAGCUCAGACAGCAACGUGUUUUCAUCUUCAGCCAUAUUUCAUUUUUCCUUUUCAGCCACAUAUUUUAACUUUGUAUUCUUGGGGAUCAAGUAUAAUUUCCUUCACCAAAAUUUAUGCAUUCUUGUCAGCCUCUUAUUUUGCAUUUCGUGCAUCACACGAUUUUCACCCUAUUUUAACCUUCAUUCCAUCACCCCCAAUCUGUAAACCCAGCAGCAACCGACCUACUUGUUCCCUUUCACAGUUUCAUCACAUAACUCAAUCUGCUCUUUUCACUGCAGAAUUCCAUUGGUAAUUUUAAUAAUUUCUGCAAAGUUAUUUCACUUCAGCAUAUCAAUAAUUUUCUUCAUCUUUUUCAUCAUUUUCGCCAAAACCAAUACUAAACAGCAAAAAUUUAUUUUCAAAAUCCAAUCAUGCAUACAUCUAUUUUUUUUCUGCAAAUCCAUAUGUUGCUAAUUACAUAGAAAAAGAAAAAGAAAAAGAAUAGAAGAAGGAACUGAAAGGGGGUUUUGUAUAGGGGGAACUGUUGAACAGCGCCGCCGGCGCUGCGCGCCACGGCGGCUGGCGGAAGGAGUAGGGGCGGCGGCGCGGUGGCCUCGGCCGCUGCUGUGCUGCUCUGGUUGGACGGAGGAAAGAGGAAGCUGGACGGCGAUGACGGCUGCUGCUGUUGUCGGCGAGAAGGAAGAAGGGACGGGGUAGUGGUGUUGGCAGGCGACGAAGGGUCGCCGGAGAAGGAGCAGUCGCGGCCGGUGCAGCGAGAACAAGGGCAGGGGAGGAGGAAGAGAGAUGAGAGAAGAGGGCGAGAAGUGAAGGGUGAGAGGGAGAUAGGAAGAAGGGAGAAGAGAAAGGAGGCAGAGCCGCCUACCUCCGGCGGCGGCGUGCUGUCUAGUGGCAGCGGCAGAAGGCCGAGAAGAGGAGAGGGAGAGGGCCGAGAGGGGAAGGCAGAAGGGAGCCGAGGGAGAGAGAAAAGGGAAAUGGGGGGCUGCGAGUUUUGUGAGCAAUUUGGGUGUGUGUUUAAAUUAGGGGAGUUGGAAGAGUGAGACUUGGGAUUGGGCCUAGGAUGGUUUGUUUUUAAAUGGGCUAAGUUUAUUAAAAAUGUUUGGGCUAAGCUUUUAAUUUAUUUAUGGGCUGCAGAUCUCUUUCUAAAUAGGUUGCAAUUGCAUUAGAUUUUAAAUAUCAUUUGGACUUCAUAUUUUUAAAUUUCAUUAUCAAGUUGGACCUGAUUUUAUUAAAUCCCAACUCAAAUUUUAAAGAAGCAUGCAUUUUAUUAUUUGAUUCAUUUAGACCAACUAUUAUUUCCAAAUGAUUUUAUGAUAAUAAAUUCUUAAGAUUUAAACUACUAUUAUUAUUAUUUUAAAGUUCAAUUAGGCCCUUAUAUUUUAUUAUUUGAAUUUAUCUGACUAGGUGCGGCGCGACUAGGACGUUACUUUUAUUUGAUUUACUCAAGUUAGCAUACAAGUUGAAGUUCAAGUUCAAAGUUCAAGUUUCAGGUGUGGGAUUUAUUUCAGUACAUGCCGUGGUUAAUUUUGUCCAUUUUGAUAUUAUGUGUUUGCCAUAUGUGUUGUAAAUUCAGUUAUAUCGCUAGGGGCCCGCUCAAUGGGUCCAGGACUUCACCGUCCUUGGUAUGCCACAAUGCGAUUUCAUGUUACAGUUAUGGUUGCAACCAGUCGCCAGGGGCCGGCUCAAUCGGUCCAGGACAUUAAAGUCCUUGGUAUGCCACCGUGCGACUUUCAGUUACGAAUGUAUUGAUCAUAUGUGAUUCUCAUUUUAUUAACGUGGACAAUGAUUGCAUGUUCCCACACUGAGUGUACCCUGUAUGCUCAUCCCAUACUUAACAUUUUCAGGUUUUAAAGACCGGAGGCGCGUGGAAGGUCGAAUGGCGAAUCAAAUAUUUUG